rnacentral:rRNA from 1 species
CCUACGGGAGGCAGCAGUGGGGAAUAUUGCACAAUGGGGGAAACCCUGAUGCAGCGACGCCGCGUGAGCGAUGAAGUAUUUCGGUAUGUAAAGCUCUAUCAGCAGGGAAGAAAAUGACGGUACCUGACUAAGAAGCCCCGGCUAACUACGUGCCAGCAGCCGCGGUAAUACGUAGGGGGCAAGCGUUAUCCGGAUUUACUGGGUGUAAAGGGAGCGUAGACGGCUGUGCAAGCCAGAGGUGAAAGCCCGGGGCUCAACCCCGGGACUGCAUUUGGAACUGUGGGGCUGGAGUGUCGGAGAGGCAGGCGGAAUUCCGAGGGUAGGGGGGAAAUGCGUAGAUAUUAGGAGGAACACCAGUGGCGAAGGCGGCCUGCUGGACGAUGACUGACGUUGAGGCUCGAAAGCGUGGGGAGCAAACAGGAUUAGAUACCCUGGUAGU